AUUGAACGCUGGCGGCAGGCCUAACACAUGCAAGUCGAGCGAGUGGCGGACGGGUGAGUAAUGUCUGGGAAACUGCCCGAUGGAGGGGGGUAUCUCCGGGGAACGGUAGCUAAUACCGCAUACCCGCUGAUGUACCCAGAUGGGAUUAGCUAGGGGGUGGGGUAACGGCUCACCGAGGCGACGAUCCCUAGCUUGUCUGAGAGGAGGACCAGCCACACUGGAACUGAGACACGGUCCAGACUCCUACGGGAGGCAGCAGUGGGGAAUAUUGCACAAUGGGGGAAAGCCUGAUGCAGCCAUGCCGCGUGUAUGAAGAAGGCCUUCGGGUUGUAAAGUACUUUCAGCGAGGAGGCGUUACUCGCAGAAGAAGCACCGGCUAACUCCGUGCCAGCAGCCGCGGUAAUAC
rnacentral:rRNA from 1 species